UACGGAGGGUGCGAGCGUUGUCCGGAAUCACUGGGCGUAAAGGGCGCGUAGGUGGCGACCCAAGUCAACGGUGAAAGCUCGGCGCUCAACGCCGAGUCGGCCGUCGAUACUGGGAUGCUUGAGCACUGUAGAGGCAGAUGGAAUUCCGGGUGUAGCGGUGGAAUGCGUAGAGAUCCGGAAGAACACCGGUGGCGAAGGCGACACGCUGGGCCGUACCUGACACUGAUGCGCGACAGCAUGGGGAGCAAACAGG
rnacentral:rRNA from 1 species